rnacentral:lncRNA from 1 species
CUCCAUGAGGGGAUUUCCGCACUCACUUUUGGCACAAGUUAUGAUGAUAUCGAAAGGACUCAUCCAGGAUAAACCCCACCAGCUAUACCAAAAAGCUUUUUUCCAUGACUGGCAGGCCCGUGUCCGAAUAUCUUUUGCCUCUGCAAUAUUGCCACUGCUCCUCACAUCAAAUGUACAUACAAAUCAAGCUUCAGCAGUGUUUCGAACAAGCUAUGAUGUAAUUAUGUAACCUUGUAAUAGUUUUGAAAGAUAGACCCUAGAAAGAAGAAGAAGAAGAAAGCGAGGCGACCAUUUAAAGACAGGGCGAAGAAGUAAGAAAGUACUGUAUCAACUAACAGGAGACUUUAUGCGUCGUCCUAAGUGACGGUCCCUGCAACGAAAGCAAUGUGCUAUAUUCAAGUCAUUACAAGGAUGAAAUCAGGCUGUGACUUGUACAGGACUGGGUUUGAGUGACAUGUAGUUCUGGUUCAGGUUCCUCUCAUCACACAUCAACUGUUCUUCGUCCUCCUCAACUUCCCUGGAAGAAGAAAGCUUUUGAUUGGUUGGCAUGGUGGAGCCAAGGUGUUCUGUUGAAGGGACCCAGGUGAGGACGCAGUCACGCAAGUUAAUAAAUGUUUCAUAAAUUAGUUGUCCAUGUAUAGAAAAUGUAUGUCCAUCAGAGUACAUUUUUUUUUAUAGAAAAAAUCCUUAAAUUAUAAGACAAACAGAUGCUAACAGGAUCUUCAAAAUCUUCGAAUGUGCCGUGCCUCUUACUUCUGUUACUGAACCUUGUGCUUCACUUCCUCGGUAAUCAAUUGAUCAAAAAUCUUGAUGGGAUUUUAAACUUAAAAGGGACUCCAUUUAUUUAUUAUGAGAAUGCAAUCCAUAGUUAUAUAUCUAUCUGGCUUCUGUAAUCUUGGAGCUCCACAGCAUAAUCUUGCUUCUCUCAUCCAUUCUUGCUGUACAAUUGAUUUCUUCUUCUUCUUUUAUGAAAAGCCUGAGAACAAAGAGGAUUGUGUGAUAGUAGUGGUAAUUUAAAGUGUUUUUUGUUUAAAUAUAUAUUAAAAUAAUAUAUUUUUUAAUUUUUAAAAUUUAUUUUUAAUACCAACACAUUAAAACAACAAAAAAAAAAUUAUUUUUUAAUAAAAAACAAAUUUUAAUCGAUCGAUUUUUAUUUUUACGGCAGUACCAAACAUGGGAAAGUAUAUCCGUGAACAAGAUAAUUAAAUUAUGACCCCACCAUAUACAAGCAACUUGUGUGUAUAUCAUGUGAUAAAAAGCAAAGAGAUGUUUUAGAUAUAGUGUAUCAAUCAAAUGUACAGGCCCACUGUGCUCACAAUAUCGGGUAAAAAUCUAUAUGCUGUAUGAGGACCAAACUCCAAAGCACAUGUCUAUGCUCACAUGGGUAGGUGCAUUUUGUUUUUCAGCCUAUAGGCGCCCUUCCUGCUUUAUACACUGUUGGAUGUUAGAACAAAUUAUCACCAGCACUGUUAAUUUUUUUUCCCAAAAUUGUUUAUGAACAUGGUAAAGUAGAGGAUGAAUUUAAAUAAUUUUAUCCCCUGUAUUAGCAGUUUAUAGUUCAAAAUCUUCUUAACAUUGACCAUAUAGAUUCCAAAGAGUUUCAUUUCGGCUUGUAAUUGUUUGUUUUUUUUUUUAGUUUAACAUGGGUGUCCGGGUCAGUUUGCACGCACCUCGACUAUUCCUACGGGCCCUGAAGUUAACGAUCAUGCAAGCCUCCAGUGGUCAUCAUAUGAGCAACCACAGGGCUCGAACCUGAGAC